UACGCAGGGGGCUAGCGUUGUUCGGAAUCACUGGGCGUAAAGCGCACGUAGGCGGAUCUUUAAGUCAGAGGUGAAAUCCCAAGGCUCAACCUUGGAACUGCCUUUGAUACUGGGGAUCUUGAGUCCGGGAGAGGUGAGUGGAACUGCGAGUGUAGAGGUGAAAUUCGUAGAUAUUCGCAAGAACACCAGUGGCGAAGGCGGCUCACUGGCCCGGUACUGACGCUGAGGUGCGAAAGCGUGGGGAGCAAACAGG
rnacentral:rRNA from 1 species